rnacentral:rRNA from 1 species
UACAGAGGUCUCAAGCGUUGUUCGGAUUCAUUGGGCGUAAAGGGUGCGUAGGCGGCGCGGUAAGUCGGGUGUGAAAUCUCGGGGCUUAACUCGGAAAGGUCAACUGAUACUGUGCGACUAGAGUGCGGAAGGGGCAACUGGAAUUCUCGGUGUAGCGGUGAAAUGCGUAGAUAUCGAGAGGAACACCUGCGGCGAAGGCGGGUUGCUGGGCCGACACUGACGCUGAUGCGCGAAAGCCAGGGGAGGCGAACGGG